GGGGCUAUAGUACAACGGUAGUAUGUUUGACUUGCACUCAAAUGAUCGGGGUUCGAUUCCCCGUAGCUCCAC
rnacentral:tRNA from 1 species